GACGUAUGGUGUAGUGGUAACAUCACGCACUUCUGGUGCGAGAGGUCCGGGUUCAAUUCCCGUCGCU
rnacentral:tRNA from 1 species